AGUGCUCUGGCUGCAACAGUGUCACCCCAUUGCUUGCCUCGAUUGACUCGGCUGGUCUGACCGGCUAGGCAGCUGUCCCUCUCAAAGCUGUGCACUAGGAGGGACCUUCCCAGAAUAGACGAGAGGAGGACCUGUCUUGGAUCAAGGAUAGAGGAGUAGUGAGAACUUCCAAACAAGUUCUCGAGGUCCACCUGAACUCUUGCCCUUUAUGAGCUCAUCCACAGCAGAGCAAGGAAUGAGGUUUUGAGUGGCAGUGGUGGCCAACGCUUAGCCUC
ensembl:misc_RNA 7SK 7SK RNA